UCUCUUUUUAUUAACUUCUUAUUCAUGCCUGUACCCCGUUCGACUCCCAAAAAGGAAAAAAAAAAAGAAAACAGUUUCUCAUUGAAGAAACAAAUGGGACUGAAGAUGGCAAUCUCUUCCAGAUUUUCAGCUACAAGUACUCACCCUCCUCUUCUAUCUGCGCUUCCAUUUUCACACCUAUGUCCCUCCCAUGAUCUCACCUCUGGUUCCCAACCAAGAUCUAGAUGAUGUGGUGUCACUUGCGAAAUCACCCAAACGGGAACAAGCAACAAGAGAAGAGUUUAUUAAAGUGAAUGGGCGAUCUUGGUCAUGAAAGGUAAGCGCUCCCCCUCUGUCUCUACCGUUUGGGUUGAUUAGCUAGAUGGCGUUAAUUAGGCAGACUCCCACCAGAUAGGCAGAUACGAUUACAUAGAUUAAGGAUCAUCCAAACAUAAGAGUCCAAUCCCUCUCUGUCUCUGUCUGUCUGUCUCUCUCUCUCUCUCUCUCUCUCUCACCCCCGCACCGUCAAUCGUAAUUGGAGGAAUGCCAAUUUCUGUUAUAAACCAACAGGCUGAUGGGUUCUUUACUGCAGUCCAUAGCCCCGUCUACGCGUAUAGGGAUCCCUCCCUUUGGUCUGAUCUCUCAAUGGUGUUUCUCUCUUUUCCACACCCCCAUAUAUUGGCUGGUGAUUUCAAUUGCAUGCUUUUUCACAGCCGGCUCAAACCAAGCCGUGGCCUCCUCCUCUUCAAUGCAGGCUUUUCAAGAGUUUGUUAUGGGGGAAGGGAAAGCCCCUCUAAACUGAAUUUAUUGUUACACUAAUACUAGGCUUCUCCUAUUUCUUUUCUUUUUUCUGGUGUGAUCUUGUACCUGGUUUAUCUUCCAACAACUUGUUGGUUGUUUGGUCUUGCUCUGUGUAAUGUUUAUUUGAAAAGAAGAUUUAGAGGCGUUAUGGAGGGAAGGCGCCCUUGCCCUGCGCAGUGGAUUGUGGUUGAGUUUCUUGCCGCCCACAGGUGAAGCUAGCGAAGGUGCGGUACUGCAGUAUAAUGGGGACUCUAGAACUAGAAGGAAUGUUUUUGCUCCUAUCAGAGAAAGUUGUAGAGUUAAUCUGACCCAGGGUCAGGAAACCUUGUGUUGGCAAAAUAGCAACUCUCCAAUCAAAUCCAGGAUCCAAAUUUGGGAGAGGAUUCGGAUGAAGAGUACAAUAGUCAAUUGGAGGAAGAAAAUCUGGCCUGGCUGUUAGGUAGUCGAUAUUGGUAGGUUUUGGAGGCUUCUUACGAAAGUUGGGGUGCAGCAGAUGUAUUCACUGUGAUCUCCGAGGGCCCUGUGGUGGCACUCUUUCUUAAACAAAAAUCUUCCGGAAGACAAGCGUUUUGGCCUAAACUUGGCCUCGAUCUGUUUCCAACGUAAAAAACAUGUAGAAACUCAAGACCAUGUGCUGUUGAAUUGCCCCUCUGGCCUUUGCUGCUAAUAUCUGGGCUUAUGUGAUGGAUGGUUUGGCAUCGGUCGGAAGCCGGUUAGGGCCAUUUGUGCAGAGCUGGUGUGGUAUUUUAACAAAAGCCUUGCUUGGCAAAGAGAGGAAGAAAUGUUGGGGUCUGGUUUUUUUAAUAUUGUAAUGUGAAAAAUAUGGUGUUUUAGAAAUUAGGCCAAACAUCAGAAUGUGUGGAGGAAGUCGAGAGAGGCAAAAAGAGGUUUGGCAUGCUUGUGUUGAAGUGAUAUUAAAGCAAGAUUGGCCUUUGGAUGGUGAGUGAUCAAUUAAGGUGUGGCUGCGCAAUACUAUUUUUACUCCUUGUUGGCUCGUUAAGGAUUUGUCAGGCUGGAUCAUUCAAAUUGGCCUUCAUGAAAAAGAAGCAAAGAAGAUUCUUUUUAAAGAUGGUUUGUUGAAAGGGAGGAAACUCUUGGUGGACAAUCAUAGCAGGGCCAUUCCGGAAACAGUUCACUUGACUUGGGUGCUUCAUGAGAUAGCUGAGGAAAGUUCUUGUAUAUUCUUGAAAUCUAAGGGUGUGGCAUGGAAAUCUUGGUUCCAGAAAAUUGCAACGGGCCAUCAUUUGCCUGCUCACAUUGAGGUAGUCUCUGGUUUUUCUAGGUGGAUUCAGAACAGCAUUCCCUGUAAUGGUUUCUUUUCUGUAGAAGUUGUAUCCUUGCUCUCUGGGCAAGUGGGAUGGGUGGGCUGAUUGUCCGUGCUGCCGAUAUAGACUCAUUUGUUCAUUCUUUUAGCUUCAAUGGAAUAGGGGUGAUCCCCCAGCUCUGUUUCUGCUUAAAAACAGUUGAAGCUGGCGAGGCCCGACUGAAACAUUGAGUUGAGAUAGUCUUGAUGUUGGUCAUAAAGUCCCUUUACUGCAUAUGAAAUAUACAGGAAAAGCUUAUGAGUCUCA